CAGCCAGCAGUUUUUACUUCCCUCACUUUGUGCUCUGUCAGUGAUCGAUCGAUCUAUCUAUCCAUCUUUCUAUCUCCAUUUGAGACUGAGAUAUUUUUCCUGUCGACCUUGGGCGCCUGCUGGUUUCUCCAUCCUCUCCUUCAUCCCUAAAGAGGUGAACGAAAAGCCUGGAGAAGAUGUCCCUCUUCACUGCAAGAGUCCCAUAGAUGCUGGUCUGGGGAACUACGUUGCCUUAGUCUGCAGAGAUGACAGGCUGAUUGGAGCCGUCCCAUUCCAUGGUCCUGUGGAGCUGAAAGUUGACAACACAGGAAACUACACGUGUCUGGUUCGGACCAUCUCUGGAGGUUCUGAGAAUAAACCCAAGGCUGGAAACCUGAAGAACGGACCCACCAACGAUGGGAACUGAUGGGGUUGGGAGUUGGUUGGCACUUAUUUGAAUGUAUGCAACACAACACCAAUUAAAAUUCCACUUAUGUGUUAAGCCUGGAAAUAAA